rnacentral:rRNA from 1 species
UACGGAGGAUGCAAGCGUUAUCCGGAAUUAUUGGGCGUAAAGCGUCCGCAGGUGGUCAAACAAGUCUGCCGUCAAAGACCAGAGCUUAACUCUGGAAAGGCGGUGGAAACUGUAAGACUAGAGACCGGUAGGGGUAGAGGGAAUUCCCAGUGUAGCGGUGAAAUGCGUAGAGAUUGGGAAGAACACAAGUGGCGAAGGCGCUCUACUGGGCCGGUACUGACACUCAGGGACGAAAGCUAGGGGAGCGAAAGGG